rnacentral:rRNA from 1 species
UGGGGAAUUUUGGACAAUGGGCGAAAGCCUGAUCCAGCCAUGCCGCGUGGGUGAAGAAGGCCUUCGGGUUGUAAAGCCCUUUCGGCUGGGACGAAAAGGUCUGCGCUAACACCGCAGAUCCAUGACGGUACCAGCAGAAGAAGCACCGGCUAACUACGUGCCAGCAGCCGCGGUAAUACGUAGGGUGCAGGCGUUAAUCGGAAUUACUGGGCGUAAAGCGUGCGCAGGCGGUUCGUUAAGAGAGAUGUGAAAUCCCCGGGCUUAACCUGGGAACUGCGUUUCUAACUGGCGAGCUUGAGUGUGGCAGAGGGGGGUGGAAUUCCACGUGUAGCAGUGAAAUGCGUAGAGAUGUGGAGGAACACCGAUGGCGAAGGCAGCCCCCUGGGCUAACACUGACGCUCAUGCACGAAAGCGUGGGGAGCAAAC